UACGUAGGUGGCGAGCGUUGUCCGGAUUUACUGGGCGUAAAGGGAGCGUAGGCGGACUUUUAAGUGAGAUGUGAAAUACUCGGGCUCAACUUGAGUGCUGCAUUUCAAACUGGAAGUCUAGAGUGCAGGAGAGGAGAAUGGAAUUCCUAGUGUAGCGGUGAAAUGCGUAGAGAUUAGGAAGAACACCAGUGGCGAAGGCGAUUCUCUGGACUGUGACUGACGCUGAGGCUCGAAAGUGUGGGGAGCAAACAGG
rnacentral:rRNA from 1 species